AGGGAAAGGUUGUAGCUCUUAUG
rnacentral:miRNA from 11 species